rnacentral:rRNA from 1 species
AGCCAGACUCCUACGGGAGGCAGCAGUGGGGAAUAUUGCACAAUGGGGGAAACCCUGAUGCAGCGACGCCGCGUGAGCGAAGAAGUACCUCGGUAUGUAAAGCUCUAUCAGCAGGGAAGAAGAUGACGGUACCUGACCAAGAAGCUCCGGCUAACUACGUGCCAGCCGCCGCGGUAAUACGUAGGGAGCAAGCGUUAUCCGGAAUUAUUGGGUGUAAAGGGUGCGUAGACGGGAUAACAAGUUGGUUGUGAAACCCCUCGGCUCAACUGAGGAACUGCAACCAAAACUAUUAUUCUUGAGUGCAGGAGAGGAAAGUGGAAUUCCUAGUGUAGCGGUGAAAUGCGUAGAUAUUAGGAAGAACACCGGUGGCGAAGGCGACUUUCUGGACUGUAACUGACGUUGAGGCACGAAAGUGUGGGGAGCAAACAGGAUUAGAUACCCGCGUAA